AUAAGUGACUGAUUAAUUAGAGAUCUAAUGAGUCUAAUGAGUGAUCUCUGGUGGCAAACCUGUGACUGACAUUUGAAUAUUAUUAUAAAUCAUCUUGAUUGCUGCUUUUUUCCCCCGGAGCUCAUCUUUCAGAGUGUGAAUUUAAUUAUGCACCUGUGGAAUCACAGUUAUUGAGGAGUUUUUAAGCUGAUGACUUUAUUGUGUGCUGUAGCCUAUAAUACGAAGUUGUUAUUUGAAAUUCAAAGCAGGCUGUGAACAAACAGCCCCAUUUUAUGAAAGUUAGACCAUUGUGUCUUUUCACUUUCAAAGCCUGGGGAGAGCUGGUCUUUCAGAAACCAUAUCAAAAGAUUACAGACAAUCAAUACUGUUUAUUGCAUAUCAGUACUGAUUUACCCUUUAGAGAUUUGCUAGUUAAAUGCAUAUUUCUCUGUUUACUUACUUUUUCUCCUGUGAGAUUUAUAAAGAAAAUGACAGCAUUGAUUGAUUGAAGUUGUGACUGCACAGCAAAAGAUGACUUCUUGGAGGGUUAUACAGCAUUAGUGUGCGGUGUCUCCAUCUAAAGGUAAGAAAUAGGCUUUGCAGUGUUCAGUUUACCAAAAGCAACUAAAUUGAGUAGCAUCUGCCUGCAAAACCGGAGGCUGCAUUUUCAGGACCGCAUUUCUAGGACCCUAGGUUUUUAGUGACAGCGCCACCUACCGAAUUAGAGGACCAGCGAGCGAAGAUGGAUGACAGUCAGAGUGUGAGUAUCAAAUGUGAAUACAUUUUUAUUUGUUUAACAUUAAAAACAAUUGUGAUGCAUUUCAUUGGAAAGUUAACAUAGCCGAAGAUAUCGUGAUUUGCUAAAUAGUCUUGAAUUCAUAGCCGUCAUAUAUUAGCCUCUAAUGCUGUAAAAUGAAUUGUUAGCACAUUAAUUUAACGAAACUGUUGCAUGAUAAGCCUGUGUUGACUUAUUGACAGCACAAUAAACUGUAGCACGUUCGUUGUGAAAGCUUGUUAAUUACUCAUUGUUUUUCCAUUUUAAUUAAGUUAAAAUAAUCUUAAUGUUUUAACUGUCACAUGCUCACAGUCAGCCUGUUUAACGUUACCCCACAAUACAUGUUAUGAGUACGUCUCUUCAUUUUGACAUGGUUUUAUAAUGUUGUUUGAGACAUAUGACAUUUUGAUAGUCAGACAUAACAGAGAGGCCAUCAUAAUAAUUGACUGUUAAAAUACCACGUGUUAGAUUGUCAUUUACUGUGUACUGUACUCUAUAUGAAGUGCUUUCAAGGACACAGAUCAGGGCAGGCAAUAGUAUGACAAAAGAUUAAUAAAUAAAUUUGUUGUUUGUUCAAGAACACAAAUAAAAGUCGGGACAAUGGUGGGCAGUUCUUCUUUCUUUAAUUCUAUACUGUGCAAUAACUGAAUCACGAACUCCAUUAACACAGGUGUCUCUCUUUCUUUCUUUGAUAAUUAACUGGACAACCAAAAUCUAACCCAGAGUGGCCAACAAACCCAGAAUGGCCAACAGUGCUUAUUCCUGAGUUUAGUCUGGGUGUAUUCAACACAAUACACUACAAAAUUGGUCAAGUAUUGGAAUUGUUUUUACACAAUGUGUAAACCCUUUUUAAGCGUUAACAGUAUUUCUGAUUAUGUUCUCCAUUUACUGUUUCAGUGAAGUGGAAGAAUUGAAUAGGGUGCUAGAGGAACAACUGAGAAAAGAGGAGUCAGUGAAGACGUCGUCCAUGAAGUUCUUUCUAUGUGGUUCACGUCAUGAACAAAUUUGUUUUUGUGUGUGUUCAAGUUCAACUGUUGUAAUAUAUUAUUUUAUAAAAUAUACACAAUCUUAAAUCUA